rnacentral:rRNA from 1 species
CCUACGGGUGGCAGCAGUGAGGAAUAUUGGUCAAUGGACGAGAGUCUGAACCAGCCAAGUAGCGUGAAGGAUGACUGCCCUAUGGGUUGUAAACUUCUUUUAUAUGGGAGUAAAAUGUUCCACGUGUGGGAUUUUGUAUGUACCAUAUGAAUAAGGAUCGGCUAACUCCGUGCCAGCAGCCGCGGUAAUACGGAGGAUCCGCGCGUUAUCCGGAUUUAUUGGGUUUAAAGGGAGCGUAGGUGGAUUGUUAAGUCAGUGGUGAAAGUUUGGGGCUCAACCGUAAAAUUGCAGUUGAAACUGGCAGUCUUGAGUACAGUAGAGGUGGGCGGAAUUCGUGGUGUAGCGGUGAAAUGCUUAGAUAUCACGAAGAACUCCGAUUGCGAAGGCAGUUCACUGGACUGCAACUGACACUGAGGCUCGAAAGUGUGGGUAUCAAACAGGAUUAGAUACCCUAGUAGUC